UACGUAGGUGGCGAGCGUUAUCCGGAAUUAUUGGGCGUAAAGCGCACGCAGGUGGCUUUUAAGUUUGACGUGAAAACUCCUAGCUUAACUGGGAGAGGACGUUUGAAGACUGGAAGCUUGAGGUAAUGAGAGGGGUGCGGAAUUCCGGUGUAGUGGUGGAAUGCGUAGAGAUACGGGAGGAACACCAGUGGCGAAGGCGGGUAGCUGGGCCAACACUGACGCUGAUGUGCGAAGCUAGGGGUAGCAAACGGGAUUGAGAUAC
rnacentral:rRNA from 1 species